rnacentral:rRNA from 1 species
UACGUAGGGGGCAAGCGUUGUCCGGAUUUAUUGGGCGUAAAGCGCGUGUAGGCGGCUUGGUAGGUCUCGCGUCAAAACCUGAGGCUCAACCUCAGUUCGCGUGGGAAACCACCUAGCUAGAGUCCGGAAGAGGAGAACGGAAUUCCCAGUGUAGCGGUGAAAUGCGCAGAUAUUGGGAAGAACACCAGUGGCGAAGGCGGUUCUCUGGGACGGUACUGACGCUGAGACGCGAAAGCGUGGGGAGCGAACAGG